GAGUUUGAUCCUGGCUCAGAUUGAACGCUGGCGGCAUGCUUUACACAUGCAAGUCGGACGGCAGCACAGAGAAGCUUGCUUCUCGGGUGGCGAGUGGCGAACGGGUGAGUAACAUAUCGGAACGUACCGAGUAGUGGGGGAUAACUGAUCGAAAGAUCAGCUAAUACCGCAUACGUCUUGAGAGAGAAAGCAGGGGACCUUUGGGCCUUGCGCUAUUCGAGCGGCCGAUAUCUGAUUAGCUAGUUGGUGGGGUAAAGGCCUACCAAGGCGACGAUCAGUAGCGGGUCUGAGAGGAUGAUCCGCCACACUGGGACUGAGACACGGCCCAGACUCCUACGGGAGGCAGCAGUGGGGAAUUUUGGACAAUGGGCGCAAGCCUGAUCCAGCCAUGCCGCGUGUCUGAAGAAGGCCUUCGGGUUGUAAAGGACUUUUGUCAGGGAAGAAAAGGCUGUUGCUAAUACCAGCGGCUGAUGACGGUACCUGAAGAAUAAGCACCGGCUAACUACGUGCCAGCAGCCGCGGUAAUACGUAGGGUGCGAGCGUUAAUCGGAAUUACUGGGCGUAAAGCGGGCGCAGACGGUUACUUAAGCAGGAUGUGAAAUCCCCGGGCUCAACCGGGAACUGCGUUCUGAACUGGGUGACUCGAGUGUGUCAGAGGGAGGUAGAAUUCCACGUGUAGCAGUGAAAUGCGUAGAGAUGUGGAGGAAUACCGAUGGCGAGGCAGCCUCCUGGGACAACACUGACGUUCAUGCCCGAAAGCGUGGGUAGCAAACAGGAUUAGAUACCCUGGUAGUCCACGCCCUAAACGAUGUCAAUUAGCUGUUGGGCAACUUGAUUGCUUAGUAGCGUAGCUAACGCGUGAAAUUGACCGCCUGGGGAGUACGGUCGCAAGAUUAAAACUCAAAGGAAUUGACGGGGACCCGCACAAGCGGUGGAUGAUGUGGAUUAAUUCGAUGCAACGCGAAGAACCUUACCUGGUCUUGACAUGUACGGAAUCCUCCAGAGACGGAGGAGUGCCUUCGGGAGCCGUAACACAGGUGCUGCAUGGCUGUCGUCAGCUCGUGUCGUGAGAUGUUGGGUUAAGUCCCGCAACGAGCGCAACCCUUGUCAUUAGUUGCCAUCAUUCAGUUGGGCACUCUAAUGAGACUGCCGGUGACAAGCCGGAGGAAGGUGGGGAUGACGUCAAGUCCUCAUGGCCCUUAUGACCAGGGCUUCACACGUCAUACAAUGGUCGGUACAGAGGGUAGCCAAGCCGCGAGGCGGAGCCAAUCUCACAAAACCGAUCGUAGUCCGGAUUGCACUCUGCAACUCGAGUGCAUGAAGUCGGAAUCGCUAGUAAUCGCAGGUCAGCAUACUGCGGUGAAUACGUUCCCGGGUCUUGUACACACCGCCCGUCACACCAUGGGAGUGGGGGAUACCAGAAGUAGGUAGGGUAACCGCAAGGGGUCCGCUUACCACGGUAUGCUUCAUGACUGGGGUGAAGUCGUAACAAGGUAGCCGUAGGGGAACCUGCGGCUGGAUCACC
rnacentral:rRNA from 1 species